CCGAUCUUGAGUUCUUUCCUUCCCAUCUUACUCGAUUUUCAUGAGUUUUUACUUGGUUUUGAAGAUUUUCAAGCUUUGAGCAAAGUUUUGGAGCUUUGAGGUUCAAGAACUCAAAACCUCCCACCUCCGAGUUUAGGACGUCUCUCCCUCGAUCUACAAGAGGUAAGAGCCGAUCUUAAGCUCAUUUUAUGUUUAAAGUAAGUUUUAUGCUAGAUCUAUGGGGUUAAAUGCAUGUUUAGCUCAUAGUUAGGUUUAUGGGUUUUAUAUGUGUUUUUGAGCAAUGUGAGUUGCUUGUGUGUUGUAGUUGGGGUUUUUGAUGGUUUGA
rnacentral:lncRNA from 1 species